rnacentral:rRNA from 1 species
AUUGAACGCUGGCGGCAGGCCUAACACAUGCAAGUCGAACGGUAACAGGAAACAGCUUGCUGUUUCGCUGACGAGUGGCGGACGGGUGAGUAAUGUCUGGGAAACUGCCUGAUGGAGGGGGAUAACUACUGGAAACGGUAGCUAAUACCGCAUAACGUCGCAAGACCAAAGAGGGGGACCUUCGGGCCUCCUGCCAUCCGAUGUGCCCAGAUGGGAUUAGCUAGUAGGUGGGGUAACGGCUCACCUAGGCGACGAUCCCUAGCUGGUCUGAGAGGAUGACCAGCCACACUGGAACUGAGACACGGUCCAGACUCCUACGGGAGGCAGCAGUGGGGAAUAUUGCACAAUGGGCGCAAGCCUGAUGCAGCCAUGUCGCGUGUAUGAAGAAGGCCUUCGGGUUGUAAAGUACUUUCAGCGGGGAGGAAGGGAGUAAAGUUAAUACCUUUGCUCAUUGACGUUACCCGCAGAAGAAGCACCGGCUAACUCCGUGCCAGCAGCCGCGGUAA